UUCCUGGUGGUCCAGUGGUGUACUCUGCACUCCCAAUGCAGGGGGUCUGGGUUCAGUUCCUGGUCAGGGAA
rnacentral:tRNA from 1 species